rnacentral:sRNA from 1 species
UGAAGUCUAUGGGCGACGGUAAUCACU